rnacentral:rRNA from 1 species
AGGACGAACGCUGGCGGCGUGCCUAACACAUGCAAGUCGAACGAGGUCCAUGCAGUGGCAACACUGCGGACGACCUAGUGGCGAACGGGUGAGUAACACGUGAGGAACUUGCCCCGGAGACCGGGAUAAGCCCCCGAAAGGGGGUCUAAUACCGGAUGUCCUCACCGAGUCGCAUGGCUUGGUGAGGAAAUGGAUUCCGCUCCGGGAGAGCCUCGCGGCCUAUCAGCUAGUUGGUGGGUAACGGCCCACCAAGGCAUCGACGGGUAGCUGGUCUGAGAGGACGAUCAGCCACACUGGGACUGAGACACGGCCCAGACUCCUACGGGAGGCAGCAGUGGGGAAUCGUUGCGCAAGUGGGCGAAAGCCUGACGCAGCAACGCCGCGUGGCGGGAUGGAAGGCCGUUCGGGUUAGUAAACCGUCGUUUCAGGUCGGGACGAACCGAAGACCGGUACCACGAGAAGGAACGUCCGACCAAC